rnacentral:rRNA from 1 species
AACGAACGCUGGCGGCAUGCCUAACACAUGCCAGUCGAACGAGACCUUCGGGUCUAGUGGCGCACGGGUGCGUAACGCGUGGGAACCUGCCCUUAGGUUCGGAAUAACUCCCCGAAAGGGGUGCUAAUACCGGAUAAUUUCUUCGGACCAAAGAUUUAUCGCCUUUGGAUGGGCCCGCGUUGGAUUAGCUAGUUGGUAGGGUAAAAGCCUACCAAGGCGACGAUCCAUAGCUGGUCUGAGAGGAUGAUCAGCCACACUGGGACUGAGACACGGCCCAGAAUCCUACGGGAGGCAGCAGUGGGGAAUAUUGGACAAUGGGCGAAAGCCUGAUCCAGCAAUGCCGCGUGAGUGAUGAAGGCCUUAGGGUUGUAAAGCUCUUUUACCCGGGAUGAUAAUGACAGUACCGGGAGAAUAAGCUCCGGCUAACUCCGUG